AGUGAACGCUGGCGGUAGGCCUAACACAUGCCAGUCGAACGGCAGCACAGUAAGAGCUUGCUCUUACGGGUGGCGAGUGGCGGACGGGUGAGGAAUACAUCGGAAUCUACUUUUUCGUGGGGGAUAACGUAGGGAAACUUACGCUAAUACCGCAUACGACCUACGGGUGAAAGCAGGGGAUCUUCGGACCUUGCGCGAUUGAAUGAGCCGAUGUCGGAUUAGCUAGUUGGCGGGGUAAAGGCCCACCAAGGCGACGAUCCGUAGCUGGGCUGAGAGGAUGGUAAGCCACACUGGAACUGAGAUGAGGUCCAGACCCCUACGGGAGGCAGCAGAGGGGAAGAUUGGAAAAGGGGAGCAAGCCUGAUCCAGCCAUACCGCGUGGGGGAAGAAGGCCUGGGGGUUGUAAAGCCCUUUUGUUGGGAAAGAAAAGCAGCAGGUUAAUACCCCGCUGUUCUGACGGUACCCAAAGAAUAAGCACCGGCAAACUUCGU
rnacentral:rRNA from 1 species